CGCCUCCCCGGACCGCGGGGCUGAGCGGAAAGGGAGCGCGGGGGGCGCGCGCGUGGAUAGGCUGAGCGCGCCGCGCAAUCACGUGACACCGCACGCGACCCCCGGUAGAACCGUGGUACUUUAAUGAGCCCCGUACAGCGCGCGCCGCCGCAGCGUCUCAGCGCCCGCCCCGCGCGGCCCCUCCUCAGAGGUCGGCGCGAGCGCCCGCCGCCCUCGGCGCGUACUUGGGCAUCAGUUCGUGGAUCCUGCGGAUGAAGUCGGAUUUCUCGGCGCAGCCCUUGCACGCCUCGCCCCAGUCGUCGAGGAUCCGCCGCAGCUCCUUGACGCGCAGCUUGCGCAGGUCGGCGGUGCUCAGGUCGAUCUGUUUGUCUGCGGGGAGAGCAGAGCCGCGCUCAGCACGGAGCGCCGGGGGGUUCCGGCGGCGUCACCGCGCGGCGCGGCGGGCGGCACAGCGCUGAGCUGCAGAGCUCCGCGGCGACCCCGAAAGCCCCCUUCGCCGCAGCGCUGCGGCUGUCCUCCGCGGGACGGAAAGGGCGGUGGGGUCAGCGCGGAGGAAAGGCGGCGGUGACAGCGACGGAGGGCUGGCUGGGAAGCUACGGGGCGUUAGUGCAAGAAACGAGGAGUGCAGCAACCACAGCCCGGCGUGGCUGUGUCCAGGGGAUGUAAGGGCAGAGGGACGGCAGGCAGAAGGCACUUCCGUGGCCGUUCUUCACAUCAGUCUUCUCGGGAGGAGCACAUCAGCACGGAACACGAGCUCGAGGAGGGUGGUGAGAAACAGGACAGGCGACAAAGCAGCGCCCAUCGAUGCCAGCAGCGCCGGCACAGCCCAGCAGCCCUGCCAUGAGCUCAGCAGGCACCAUCGCAGCCCAGGCGUACUGCGUGCUGUCCUCACGGCCGUUAUUCCAACAGGGCUUUGAGCACAGCACUGCUGGCGCCUGGGAGGUCGAGCAGUGGUUCUGCGGGAGCUAAAGGGGUUAGCAGCCAGCAGCCCCACCUGAGCAUCCCCAUACAGCUGUGCAGGAUAUUCACAGACAACAGCCCAGCUUGUGCAACUACCCAGGCUGGUGACCUCCACGACUUCAGCAUGCUUUUACCCACAGUGAUGCAGUAUCCCAGGAAGGUGCAUCCAUUUUCCCCUUCUGGCAACUCACCGUAUUUCAGCUCGCAGAUCUGACUGUCUUUCUUCUUCAGUUUCUCGCAGAUCUUUUCCACGGGGAUGUGGUGACUCAUGGGUUUGGAAACCUCGUUAAUAAUUUUGGUGGCUGCAUCACUUGUGGCCCCAAUGUAAUAGCACAACCGGUUCUCUUUGCCUUUUGCCUCUCUGCAGGAUUUCAUGAGCUCCUUUUCAAUACUGGCGGGCGUGAACUCAACAUUGUUGUCCUUUAGACUCUGGUAGAACCUCCCCAGGAAGGUGACACACACUGGAAGGAAGAUGGGUGGAGUUACCUGUCACUGCAAGAACCUCACGGCAGCUCUCAGAAGCAGGGGAACAGAAUAAGGGCUUUGCAGAACAGAACGUUUAGAAGCUGCGUUAGCAAUCAGUGACCUCACAGGUAUUUCAGCACACGUGAGGCAGCAGCGUGCCCUGGUAGUUUUGGUGGGUUUCUGACAAUCUGAAAAAGCAGAUCCCUGGAACUACCCGGCGAAGAACAGAAACCUGAUGCCCUAUUCUUGCUGCUUUGGUAACCCACUUGUCAGACUAUGGGCUUCAAAACCAGUUCUGACUGAAAACCAACUCAUCUAGGGAGCGCAUCAGCUGAAUAAUCAGUGAUAUCACAUUACUAAUGACAGUACACACUGGAGUCUGUAACGGGAUUGUGUACAGUUGCUUCCAAGAGAAAAAGCUGUAACACGAUCACAUGCUGCACCCACUUGGCACGUUUCUCUCCUCAUUUCCCACAAACUUAUGCAUCAGUUUCAAAGAGACUCCAAGAUAACACAACUUCCACAAGCGCACCAGAAGCGGAGAGGACAAAGCCCAGCCCUGCGGGUGGGAAGGGCAGCACAGCUCAGUCCUUACACUCCCCCCCCCAGGCAACAGCCGGGCAGGUCGUGCUCCAGAGGGAGCACAGCACAGGGAGGGAGGCAGCUGCAGUACGCAGCGGGAUCCGUGCAGCAGCACUGCGUGACCCCGCAAGCUCGCAGAGUCAGGUUUCACUCCUGCUGCUCACACACGCGGUCUAUGAGCGCCAGCAUCACCCGUGCUGGAGGUCCGUGCCCCACCGGUUCCUGCAGCAGGAGCCGGGGCUUCCCAGCCUCCCGGCCCUCCGUGUGCGUGCGUGUCCCAAUGGAAAGGGGUCAGCGAGUCUCGUCACCGACUUGUGUUCAACUCCGGACCCGAGCACGGAACGCGGGCAAUGGCAGGGAAUCAACGGGACCGCCUGAAGCCAACUGAACACCGACUGCCGUCACCUGAAGCUGGCAGUAAUUACAAGCCGGGCCGUUCGGGAAAACCUUUUCGUACGCAUACAACGCCAUCAUUUACCUCACAUCAGUUUGUCUCCAGUCACAGACACACACUGAUGUCCACUGUGCGCUGUCUGGAAGUGAAAACCUUCGGAAAGAACAGAGACGCUGCAGGCAGUGCCGCCGGCGGCCGCGGUGCAGCUGAGCGCCGUGCCUUCCUCCGAGCCGAGCGGCGGCACCGCGGAACCCCCACAGCUCCCCGUCCCGCCCCGGGAUCGCCUCCGUCCCGGCACGACGGAGCGCUGCGCUUCGCGCUGCAGCCGCGCGGCGACUUCUGCGAGCGAAGCGGCACCGCCGGCGGCGCCGGGACAGCGCAGCGCAGCGCGGCCGGGCUCGGGACGGGACGGGGCGGGGCAGCGCCGCUCGGCGCAGGACGGGCCUCGGGAGCGCUCCGGAUCGGCCGCAGCCGCCUGCCCGGGCAGAGGGAACUUCCGCGCCCCGCCACGAGCCGCUCUCGGCGGCCCUGCCCGUGCCCCGGCCCCCGACGGCAGCGUGCGGACGCGGCCUCACCUCGCCGUGCCCCGGGGCCGCCCCUCCUCCGGCCCGGCCCCACUCACCCUCGCACUCCCCGUCGCGCAGCGCCCGGCUGCCGGCCGGCAGCAGGAGCAGGGCCAGCGUCGCCCAGAGCCCGUGGGCCGCCCGCAUCCCGCCUCGCUCGGCGCCCGCCACACCGGUACCGGCACCGCCGCCCCCGCGCGCCGCCGGUUCCCCCCCGCCGCUGCCCCCAUUGGCCCGCUCCCCGCCCGGCUUCCACGCCGCCUCCUCCCAUUGGCCAACCCGCGGCCUCCACGGGAGAGUUGGCGGCCGCUGAUUGGAGGAGGCGGCGAGCGGCGGGUUUCCCCGCCUCCCUCGGCCGCCAUUUUUGUUAAGGGAAAGUUGCCCUCGAAGGCUUCGCGCCGGCGGCUCGCGGGCGCCAUCUUGUGGAGGGGCAGAUCCUCACACCUCAGCAAGGGGGGGUGUUCGUGUGUGAGAAUUUGAGACAAAGUGCGAGGGGGGUUUUGCAAGGCCGGUAGUUUGAGGUACACUUCAGGUACACUUCAACGUUACCUCCCUUUUCAGUUCUGCAUGUGGAAACGGCUCAUGGUCAGAGAUGGGGAGCCAUUACAGAGAUGCAGGUGCUGGCUGAACUACUUAAAUUGCUUGUUUUUACACUGAUAACCACCAAAGCUAGGAUUGAGGUUGUUUCUAAGCCCACGGUUUCUAUCGCCAAAGUAUUUGACAUGGGAAAAAAAAAUAGGGGAAACAUAGCAAUGAAUGGGUGAAUUUUGUUUUUGUGAUGGUUUGGGUGGGCUAAUAGAGCAAAGGGAGAAAGUGAGCCAGGUAGGGCUAACAGGAGCUGGAAUACGGUCAGCUCUUGGAUGGUGGUUUGCUAAGAAGCUUGUAAAAAGGGAGAAAGGGCAACAUGAAUUACAGCAGUAAGAAGAAAACCUGUAGAUCUUUGAGAAUUGGGCUAUAGUUUGUAUGUGUGUAUUAAAAAAUUGUGCGUGUGUUUAUCAUUCCAAACACUGUCCGUGCAUUGUCCUAGCAAUGCUAAUGCACCUACAGAUGUGAAUAGGAAAAUAAAAUGAAGUGCUCACUGUAUGCCUAAAGUUCAUUAGCUGUGCAGUGGUCUAAUGAAAUUGCUGUACGACUAAUGGUAUGUAUAGCAGAUAAUGUAAAGUAAACCUGUGUCGGUACCAGUGGUAAAUAUGUGAAUGAAGUCCAGGAAUUCACACGUUCAGAGAAUCCCUUACUUUUGGUUGCCUGCAGUAUGUGACUGUCAAGUCAGUGGCUGAAGAAGCUGAGUGGUUGUUGGUCUGGAAUAUGGUAUUCUUUUCCAGCUAAAUAGAGAUUGGUAGUAAUUAAUACACGAUCACUUAGGUACAGUGUGGUUCUUGUGGUGAGACAGCAUGAAGGUUACUUUAAUGGUUGCAGGGAUGAAGGUAAUCUGCAGGAUUUAGUGUAAGCCUCUUGGAUGCUGAUACUCCUGCUUAAGUGCUAAGGAGUAAACUGCUUGGGGCGUGCGAGGACCCUGCCUGGGUUCAGCUGCCAGGUGGUGGGAGACACAUUGGGAGUGCCUGCCCUUGUUUCAGCUCUGGGGAAGGCCAGCAGUAGGUAAAAGAGAAUACUCUGUAACAUAUUAUUUAUACCCUAUUUGGGGCUUCAUUGCUGGAAAGCAGUGGCCAAACUCUCCCAAAGCUGUAGCUAUUGUAUAGGUACAGUAUGAAGUCACGAGCAGUGAGUUGUGCUACAUUCACACCUGUGAAUGGUUUACACACAGACAGCAAAGAAGCUGGGAUUUGUGACAGCUGGUUCUUUUCAGUUACUCAAAUCCAGCUGCCUGAAUGACACGGACAGGUGCUACAAUCUGAGCCUGGGUUUUCUUAAGCUGGCUCUAGGAAUAAAUGCAUAUUUGUACAGAGGCAAGAGCAGCUGAAUCUUUGUGGACUGGAUUAUCUUAUUUGCUAGAGGUUUGAUUUCUCCUCUUACCAACUUUUGUGUAACUCAGUACCAAAGAAACUUUCUUCCUUGGAUCAGGUGAAGAUUUGGCUGGGCUAUGUACAUUUGAAUGUGAUAGCGUGGCUUAAAGUGUCUGGCUUGCACUCAAAUGCUGCUUCUUUUGGCUUUAAUGGAAAUUUUAACUUAAGGCUGAAGGCUUUUUGUGUUGAACUCUUUUCAUUUCCCACAAUUCAUUAACAGAUGCUUUUAGCUGAAUAAUAAUAAACAUAUAUAUUAAACUGAGAUUUGCUAAGUUGGGUUAGAAGUGACUCAGGGUCUGCUUUAUACAGACAUCCUCCAGGUGCCAGCUAAGCCACGUUUUGGUAUUUCAGAUGUACUACCAUGGACAACUACGUUCUUA
rnacentral:lncRNA from 1 species